AGAGUUUGAUCCUGGCUCAGGAUGAACGCUAGCGGUAGGCUUAACACAUGCAAGUCGAGGGGUAAGGUCUCUUCGGAGAUACACGACCGGCGCACGGGUGAGUAACGCGUAUGCAACCUACCUGUUGUUUAGGGAUAGCCCGGAGAAAUUCGGAUUAAUACCUUAUAAUAUUUCGAAAAGACAUCUUUUCGAUCUUAAAGCUCAGGCGACAACAGAUGGGCAUGCGUGACAUUAGUUUGUUGGUGAGGUAACUGCUCACCAAGACUACGAUGUCUACGGGGUCUUAAAGGAUGGUCCCGCACACUGGUACUGAGACACGGACCAGACUCCUACGGGAGGCAGCAGUGAGGAAUAUUGGUCAAUGGGGGCAACCCUGAACCAGCCAAGCCGCGUGCAGGAUGACGGCCCUAAGGGUUGUAAACUGCUUUUCUAUUCCAAGAAACCGUCCUACGUGUAGGGCGCUGACGGUAGAAUAGGAAUAAGCAUCGGCUAACUCCGUGCCAGCAGCCGCGGUAAUACGGAGGAUGCAGGCGUUAUCCGGAUUUAUUAGGUUUAAAGGGUGCGUAGGCGGAAGAAUAAGUCAGUGGUGAAAGCCCAUAGCUCAACUAUGGAACUGCCAUUGAUACUGUUUUUCUUGAGUACAGAUGAGGUAGGCGGAAUGUGUAAUGUAGCGGUGAAAUGCUUAGAUAUUACACAGAACACCAAUUGCGUAGGCAGCUUACUAAACUGUAACUGACGCUGAGGCACGAAAGCGUGGGGAGCGAACAGGAUUAGAUACCCUGGUAGUCCACGCCGUAAACGAUGAUCACUCGUUGUUGGCGAUACAUUGUCAGCGACUGAGCGAAAGCAUUAAGUGAUCCACCUGGGGAGUACGUCGGCAACGAUGAAACUCAAAGGAAUUGACGGGGGCCCGCACAAGCGGAGGAACAUGUGGUUUAAUUCGAUGAUACGCGAGGAACCUUACCUGGGCUCGAAUGCGAGUGACCGUCCCGGAAACGGGACUUCCCUUCGGGGCACAAAGUGAGGUGCUGCAUGGCUGUCGUCAGCUCGUGCCGUGAGGUGUCGGGUUAAGUCCCAUAACGAGCGCAACCCCUAUUCUUAGUUGCCAGCGGAUAAUGCCGGGGACUCUAAGGAGACUGCCACCGUAAGGUGUGAGGAAGGUGGGGAUGACGUCAAGUCAGCACGGCCCUUAUGUCCAGGGCUACACACGUGUUACAAUGGUUGGUACAAAGGGCAGCUACCUGGUGACAGGAUGCUAAUCUCUAAAACCAAUCCUAGUUCGGAUCGAAGUCUGCAACUCGACUUCGUGAAGUUGGAUUCGCUAGUAAUCGUAUAUCAGCAAUGAUACGGUGAAUACGUUCCCGGGCCUUGUACACACCGCCCGUCAAGCCAUGGAAGCUGGGGGUACCUGAAGUCCGUAACCGUAAGGAGCGGCCUAGGGUAAAACCAGUAACUGGGGCUAAGUCGUAACAAGGUA
rnacentral:rRNA from 1 species